GUGGGGAAUAUUGGACAAUGGGGGGAACCCUGAUCCAGCCAUGCCGCGUGUGUGAAGAAGGCCUUUUGGUUGUAAAGCACUUUAAGCGAGGAGGAGGCUACCGAGAUUAAUACUCUUGGAUAGUGGACGUUACUCGCAGAAUAAGCACCGGCUAACUCUGUGCCAGCAGCCGCGGUAAUACAGAGGGUGCAAGCGUUAAUCGGAUUUACUGGGCGUAAAGCGCGCGUAGGUGGCCAAUUAAGUCAAAUGUGAAAUCCCCGAGCUUAACUUGGGAAUUGCAUUCGAUACUGGUUGGCUAGAGUAUGGGAGAGGAUGGUAGAAUUCCAGGUGUAGCUGUGAAAUGCGUAGAGAUCUGGAGGAAUACCGAUGGCGAAGGCAGCCAUCUGGCCUAAUACUGACACUGAGGUGCGAAAGCAUGGGGAGCAAACAGGAUUAGAUACCCUGGUAGUCC
rnacentral:rRNA from 1 species